UUUUUCAACUUUUGACCUCGGAUCAGGUAGGGAUACCCGCUGAACUUAAGCAUAUCAAUAAGCGGAGGAA
rnacentral:rRNA from 1 species